rnacentral:rRNA from 1 species
ACUCAAAGGAAUUGACGGGGACCCGCACAAGCGGUGGAUGAUGUGGAUUAAUUCGAUGCAACGCGAAAAACCUUACCUACCCUUGACAUGCCAGGAACCCUGCUGAGAGGUGGGGGUGCUCGAAAGAGAGCCUGGGCACAGGUGCUGCAUGGCUGUCGUCAGCUCGUGUCGUGAGAUGUUGGGUUAAGUCCCGCAACGAGCGCAACCCUUGUCAUUAGUUGCCAUCAUUUAGUUGGGCACUCUAAUGAGACUGCCGGUGACAAACCGGAGGAAGGUGGGGAUGACGUCAAGUCCUCAUGGCCCUUAUGGGUAGGGCUUCACACGUCAUACAAUGGUCGGUACAGAGGGUUGCCAAGCCGCGAGGUGGAGCCAAUCCCAGAAAGCCGAUCGUAGUCCGGAUCGUAGUCUGCAACUCGACUGCGUGAAGUCGGAAUCGCUAGUAAUCGUGGAUCAGCAUGCCACGGUGAUACGUUCCCGGGUCUUGUACACACCGCCCGUCACACCAUGGGAGUGGGUUUCACCAGAAGUAGUAGCCUAACCGCGAGGGGGGCGCUUACCACGGUGGGAUUCAUGACUGG